UUGUGAUGUGCUCAGUGAC
rnacentral:piRNA from 1 species